rnacentral:rRNA from 1 species
UACGUAGGGUGCAAGCGUUGUCCGGAAUUAUUGGGCGUAAAGAGCUCGUAGGCGGUUUGUCGCGUCGGCUGUGAAAACCUGGGGCUCAACCCCGGGCCUGCAGCCGAUACGGGCAAACUAGAAUUCGGUAGGGGAGACUGGAAUUCCUGGUGUAGCGGUGAAAUGCGCAGAUAUCAGGAGGAACACCGGUGGCGAAGGCGGGUCUCUGGACCGUAACUGACGCUGAGGCGCGAAAGCGUGGGGAGCAAACAGG